rnacentral:rRNA from 1 species
GACUAUGGCCAUGCUACCCUGAACACGCCCGAUCCCGUCUGAUCUCAGAAGCUAAGCAGGGUCCGGCCUGGUUAGUACUUGAAUGGGAGACUACUUAGGAAGACCAGGUCCUGUAGGCA